UCCCCUGUGGCUGAGCUGGUAAAGAAUCCACCUGCAAAGCAGGAGAUCUGGGUUCAAUCCCUAGGUGGGGAA
rnacentral:tRNA from 1 species